GAUGAAGAACGCAGCGAAAUGCGAUAAGUAAUGUGAAUUGCAGAAUUCAGUGAAUCAUCGAAUCUUUGAACGCACCUUGCGCUCCUUGGUAUUCCGAGGAGCAUGCCUGUUUGAGUGUCAUGAAAUUCUCAACCUUUUCAGCUUUCUUUGUUGAUCAGGCUUGGAUGUGGGAGUAUGCGGGCUUCUCAGAAGUCGGCUCUCCUGAAAUGCAUUAGCGGGACCUUUGUUGCCUGGCUUUGGUGUGAUAAUUAUCUACGCCAUUGUAGUCAAGGAGCUUAAAAUGAGGUUUCAGCUUCUAACCGUCUCCCCUGAGACAACUUUUUGACAAUUUGACCUCAAAUCAGGUAGGAUUACCCGCUGAACUUAAGCAUAUCAAUAAGCGGAGGA
rnacentral:misc_RNA from 1 species